ACCCCAGGCGAACGCCGCGCGUGGGCCGCGCCACCGCGUGCGGGCAGGCGAGCGCCGCGCCGCCGCCUCGGCUCUCCCCUGCUCGAGCGACGGGCAGGCGAGCGCCAGGAAGGGCCUGCGUGCGGCCGGGGCAGCUGCCAGGCAGGGUCUCGAUUUGGUCUGGUGAACUGCUGGGAGCUCGUUUUGGUGGUGCACGAGAGAAAUUGAAUCCGCUCAAGGCGUCCCCAGCAGGAGAAAGAUUUGUCUGAAUUUGGUUGCAUAUGUGAUGCGGCUUCUCCCUCGCGGGGCGCGGCGGCCCGGCCGGCCUCCUCCGCGCGGGGCCACAAUGUCGGCAGCCCCUCCCUUCUCCCUCCCUCCCUCCGGCCGGGUGCUCGCCCUCCUCCUCCAUGGCAGACCUCAAGCUCGGCGGUGGCUCUGCUCGAUGGUGGUUCUGCCCGGCGGCGGCCUUCAGCUCGCUCGGCGCCGCCCCUUCCCCUGCUCCCUCCCUUGCCGGCCUCCUCCGUCUGCGCAGCGGCAUCUACACCGGAAAUUUGCAGGCGAGCAACUCCCGGCCGGCGAGGGUCUCUGCGGCGGCGAGCGGCUCCACCCAGCCGUUGGUGAUUUUUUUUCUUUUUUUUCUUAUUUUUAUGAAAUAGAGAUGGGUGUUGAUUGUAUUAUCCUGUGAUCGAUUCUUUGAAUGAUAAAUCUAUAUAUGGAUUUUGUAUAUGUCGAUCCAAUAUUUUGUGGUUGAUC